rnacentral:rRNA from 1 species
CUACGGGCCGCUGCAGUGGGGAAUAUUGCACAAUGGAGGAAACUCUGAUGCAGCCAUGCCGCGUGAGUGAAGAAGGCCCUAGGGUUGUAAAACUCUUUCAAUAAUGAAGAUAAUGACGGUAAUUAUAGAAGAAGCACCGGCUAACUCCGUGCCAGCAGCCGCGGUAAUACGGAGGGUGCUAGCGUUAUUCGGAAUCACUGGGCGUAAAGAGCGCGUAGGCGGUUAGUAUAGUUGGGAGUGAAAGCCCGGGGCUCAACCUCGGAACUGCUCUCAAAACUCACCAACUAGAAAUCGGUAGAGGAUAGUGGAAUUCCUAGUGUAGAGGUGAAAUUCGUAGAUAUUAGGAGGAACACCAGUGGCGAAGGCGACUGUCUGGACCGAUAUUGACGCUAAGGCGCGAAAGCGUGGGGAGCGAACGGAUUAGAUACCCCUGUAGUC